rnacentral:lncRNA from 1 species
AUGGGUUCGAUUCAAAAUACCGUUUACUACUGUUGUGUAUCAAGGGGUAAUCGAAUCCUUUAUGUAUACAGUGGUGGAGAUGGUGAAAUUGAGAACUUGGGUACUUUGUGCCUGGAAAAGAAGACUCCUUUUCAAAUAGGUGGUAUUUUGAGACCGUGGGUAAAAGGACUUAUGGGUUCCUAAUUGAAGAUGGGUAUAUUUAUUUCACAAUUGUUGAUGAGAGUUUGGGAAACCUUGGUGUUCUUCAAUUUCUAGAGCAUUUGAGAGACGAAUUCAAGAAGGUAGCCAGGAAGGUUUCCAGGGGAAAUUUUUUGGUGUUUGCAAGGAUUGGGUUGCGGCAAUGGAGGGUUGUGGAGGAAGGGGAGGAUUGUGGAUGA